CAUCGGUGGAGGCGGAGCGAAAGCGAGUCUGAACAGGGCGU
rnacentral:rRNA from 11 species